rnacentral:lncRNA from 1 species
GAGACCCAGAAGCUUGGAGGAUAGAGGCUCUUUUCUUUAUAUCACUCUCCUUUUCUCAAAGGUUAGACAACUGCAGCCUCACCUCACACUCCUGCUGGGAUCUCUCCACAAUUCUGACCCAUAACCAGAGCCUCCGGAAGCUGAACUUGAGCAACAACGACCUGGGCGAUCUGUGUGUGGUGACGCUCUGUGAGGUUCUGAAACAGCAGGGCUGCCUCCUGCAGAGCCUACAGUUGGGUGAAAUGUAUUUAAAUUGUGAAACAAAACGUACCUUAGAAGCUCUCCAGGAGGAAAAGCCUGAGCUGACUGUUGUUUUUGAGAUUUCUUGGUAGGUGUGGAAGCAGGACUGCCAGGUGCCCCGGUCCCACCCCAAGCCCUACUGUUCUUCAGUGCUGCAAGCCCUCCUUCACCAGCAGGACCAAGCCAGGGCGCUUUUAGUGUAGGGUCUGGAGCAAAGGCCUGUGUGGGAACAAGUAUGCUUUCUCCAGGGAAGACACUGAUAAUACGAAACUACUAGAGGACGCCCUUCCUGUCAGGUCCUCAGUCAGCAAGUUGUUCCCUCUUGGUGACCUGAUGGGACCAUUUUCUAGAAAAUGCAUUUUCUGUCCUUUUCCUCCUCUUCCUCCUCCUCUUCUCCCCCACUUCUCUCUUGUUUUCUUGAUAUGUGUUCAGAGCAUUGCUCUUGUCUUCUUGUUAACUGACCAUACCAUAUAAGUAGCUGGCAAGUUUGUGGCAGCCUCUCAGCUACGUCUUUGCUUUUAUUUUUAUUUUUUUAUUUAUUUAUUUUUUUUUGAUUCUUUUUUUCGGAGCUGGGGACCAAACCCAGGGCCUUGCGCUUCCUAGGUAAGCGCUCUACCACUGAGCUAAAUCCCCAGCCCCUGUUUUUAUUUUUUAAUAGUUAUGAAAACUCAGAGAUUUAUAAGAUGCAUUUUUGUGUUUAUUGUAUGUUUGUACUGCUUUCUUAAUUUAAAAAUGUAUCUAGAAUUCUUUUAAGUUAUUUAUCCAAACUUCUAAAAAUAAAUCACUUUAAAAU